rnacentral:lncRNA from 1 species
UAAUUUCGUGUUGGUUCUCCGAUUUCUCCAAUUUUCGUGCGUUUGAGAGUAUUAGUCUGAAUCCAUUCGCUCUAAGAGCACUCUCGUAGUUAAAAUGUAGUAAUUUCACGGACUUUCACCCCAGAAUGUGGCUGUAUGUGAGUGUCUAGAAAUAGGCGGUUUUAGUCUACUUAUAAGAAAAUGCCUUGUGAACCAAUAGCUAUUUUAUUAUUUUAUUUAUUUCGAAAACUAUUGAACGGUGGUUAUUCGGUCAGGGAUCGAGUCAUACCGUGCAUUACUGUGUUUUAUCUUGAGACUGCCUAUCAGAUUUUUCCCAUCCGUUUACCAUUCGACAUGAGUCUACGUAACAAGUGCAUUCUUUUAAUCUUCCUCAUAACAAACUCAGUUCUUCAAACCGUGCAAGCUUGGAAACUGUCUGGAUCAGACAGUGAAUUCAACUUAUCGGAAUAUCGAGAGAAACUUGAAGAAGCUCAUCCCUAUUUCUUCAAUGCUGCGCCUGGUCCACCUCCUUCUGAGGUUCCAUCUCCAGCCGCUGAUGAGACCGAGACCCUGCCCAAUUUUGAUUAUGCAUUUCGGGAAUGCCUCCAGCCGGCAUGCGAUUACUUCGGGAUUUUACACGUGGGUGGAAACAAAAUGAAGAUACCUUUAAAAGAACCCGUCUCCUUUGACGUAGAUACAGGAGAAGUCAAAUGCAAAUUUUCAUCACGAGCCCUUAGAUGCAUAAGGCACCACCGAGCUAACGUGACAUUGUUCAAAAUUCUCUACGAUAAAAAACCCAAUAUGGCGAGGCUUUACUUAAAACGGAGGAAACUGCCUUUAGAUGGCCCGAUAUUUAACCAAAGCCCCGCGGGAAGUUUCAAAAAAAGUUCCAAAUCAGAUGAAAGUUCCACGCAGCGCAGUGAGUCUUCGACAAGUGCCACAAAUCGUUUGCUGAGCAAGUUAUCAAAAUCACCCACGUUCAUACGCGGAACGUGCAGUCAAAUGGUGAGUAGGUUAAAUCAAUCACCGACGUUCAAUUAUCUAACAAGAGGGUUGUCUAAAUCAAGUAUUACUGGUGCAUAUAAUGGCGUGGUGAGGGGCUUAUCCAACGCUGGUGCCGUUACCCAAGUCUCGAACAUUUUGAAAUCUAGUGGAUCGGCGAUAAAGAGAUGGAAACCAAAGGCAGAGAUGCCCAAAAAGACCAACAGCCAGAACGAGACACCCUGAUGUUGAACUGAUCAUAUCGAUGGCCAAAAGGCGGGAACAAAGAAGAAGAAAAAAAUCUUACAUACCUAGGCUUCAGUGUUCGAAACCGACAGGUGCCAUGUGCAAAAUGCGCCUAAAUAUUUGUAAUUGGCGCCUAAAUAAUUGAAGUGGUGGCCAAAGUUGGCGCCUAAAUAUUUUCGGUUAGAUUUCCAACUUUGCCGUUUCGACUGGUGCUAUCGCGUCAAAUUGACGGACUCCGGCUCCAUAAAAGGCUUCAAUUUAUCAAUUAGAUGAAGAAACCUAUAGGAAAAUGAGCAAUAAGUAAGAAAAAUCCCGAUUUUUUUUUUUUAGUGCCAAAAGACAUCCGAUGCUCAUUAUACAAAUUAUUUCAGAAAAAACCAUUUUGGCUCCUAAAAAAACCCCAAUGGCUCCUAAAUAUUGGACAUGGUGUGCCAAGAUGGCUCCUAAAUUUUUUUAAAGUUUCGAACACUGAUAGGCUUCAAUUAGUAUGUAAAACAGGCCUUCGGGUUAUACUCUGUUAAGUAUAAUUCCUCCUUGUAUUAAUUACAAUAAAUAUAACUUUGUUCAAAAAAAAAGUGCGAAAUCACGUAUCUCCUUUUGUGACGUUGCAGACUUCCUGUUAUGCUUUAAUUUUUAUUCAGGAUAAACUAGUCACGAAUUUUCUUAAAAACUUCCCUGAAUUUCCUUCUCUGCCAGCAAAAGAUUCUGUAUAAAUGGCGAGGUAAAAUGUUGGCUUGCUUCUCUUCGGAAAAAUAAAGUAGAAGUGGAAAUAUUGAAACAUCACAAUGGCGAUACGUGGUUUCGCACGCCAGCUAUAUCGAUUUAUUAAUCUUCCAGCGACGCGGUGUCAUUAUUUUACUCCGAUUACUAUGAUCAUGAUAUUCCACGGAGAGGAAAAUGCUCGAUAGAAAAGGAUCCUUUUAAAUCAACGGGAAUCUCGUAAUAAAAGUUCUGAAAUCCUAAUAAUUUCGUUUGAUUUGAUCCCAUUCUGGAUUCAUUGGUCGUCAGAAUUUGUUCUUGUUAUUUCAAUCUAUUCGGCUUCUAUUCCUCUAUUGAAAAUCUAUCAAAAUAUCAAUAAUAAAGAAAAAG